rnacentral:rRNA from 1 species
UCAAAACCCAAAACAACAACUGAGUUAACCUAUAUAAAUGAAUAAAUUAAUGUUAGAAUAAGUAAUUAGAAAACACGAUUUUCUCCGUACGAACCCGUAAAUCAGAUCGAACUAAUCACUGAUAAUUACCGACCCUGUAAAUGGAAAUAAACACCAAUCAUAAACAAGAAAAACAUUAAACACUGACUCGUUAACCCCACACAGGCUCUGCAACAACGAAAGACAAAAAGACAAAGAAGGAACUCAGCAAAUAAAACCUUCGCCUGUUUACCAAAAACAUCGCCUCUAGCAAAACUAAUAUUAGAGGUACUGCCUGCCCAGUGAUAAACUUUAACGGCCGCGGUAUC